rnacentral:rRNA from 1 species
AGUGAACGCUGGCGGUAGGCCUAACACAUGCAAGUCGAACGGCAGCACAGUAGGAGCUUGCUCUUACGGGUGGCGAGUGGCGGACGGGUGAGGAAUACAUCGGAAUCUACUUUUUCGUGGGGGAUAACGUAGGGAAACUUACGCUAAUACCGCAUACGACCUACGGGUGAAAGCAGGGGAUCUUCGGACCUUGCGCGAUUGAAUGAGCCGAUGUCGGAUUAGCUAGUUGGCGGGGUAAAGGCCCACCAAGGCGACGAUCCGUAGCUGGUCUGAGAGGAUGAUCAGCCACACUGGAACUGAGACACGGUCCAGACUCCUACGGGAGGCAGCAGUGGGGAAUAUUGGACAAAGGGCGCAAGCCUGAUCCAGCCAUACCGCGUGGGUGAAGAAGGCCUUCGGGUUGUAAAGCCCUUUUGUUGGGAAAGAAAAGGAGCAGGUUAAUACCCCGCUGUUCUGACGGUACCCAAAGAAUAAGCACCGGCUAACUUCGUG